GUCAAAAUCCUUACUCUCAGGUUGCAGCCUUUUAUGGAAGACUUAAUUGAGCAGGAACAGUGUGCUUUUACCAAAGGAAGAUUGAUUUCUGACAACAUCCUUAUCAACCAUGAAUUGAUGCAUAAUUUGAAAUUGAGGAGAAAUGGGAGAAAUUUUGGGAUGGCUUUAAAGUUGGGUAUAAGUAAAGCUUAUGAAUAUAUUGA
rnacentral:misc_RNA from 1 species